rnacentral:rRNA from 1 species
CGGCGAGCGGCGGACGGCUGAGUAACGCGUGGGAAUUUGCCCCAAAGUGAGGAAUAACUGCCCGAAAGGGUGGCUAAUGCCGCAUAUGAUCUUCGGAUUAAAGGAUUUAUCCGCUUUGGGAGAAGCCCGCGUCGGAUUAGGUAGUUGGUGAGGUAAUGGCUCACCAAGCCGACGAUCCGUAGCUGGUCUGAGAGGAUGACCAGCCAGACUGGAACUGAGACACGGUCCAG